GCGCUCGUAGCUCAAUUGGAUAGAGUAUCAAGCUACGGACUUGAAGGUUGUGGGUUCAAGCCCUGCCGAGCGU
rnacentral:tRNA from 1 species